GAUGAACGCUGGCGGCGUGCCUAAUACAUGCAAGUCGAGCGGAGUAGAUGAGAAGCUUGCUUCUCAUCUACUUAGCGGCGGACGGGUGAGUAACACGUGGGUAACCUGCCCUUUAGAUUGGGAUAACAUCAGGAAACUGGUGCUAAUACCGAAUAGGAGACUUGGUCGCAUGACCGAGUUUGGAAAGGUGGCGUAAGCUACCACUAAAGGAUGGACCCGCGGCGCAUUAGCUAGUUGGUGGGGUAACGGCCUACCAAGGCGACGAUGCGUAGCCGAACUGGGAGGGUGAUCGGCCACACUGGGACCGAGACACGGCCCAGACUCCUACGGGAGGCAGCAGUAGGGAAUCUUCGGCAAUGGGCGAAAGCCUGACCGAGCAACGCCGCGUGAGUGAAGAAGGUUUUCGGAUCGUAAAACUCUGUUGUAAGGGAAGAACAGCAGGUAGUUAAAUAAGCUACUUGUAUGACGGUACCUUAUUAGAAAGCCACGGCUAACUACGUGCCAGCCGCCGCGAUAAUAC
rnacentral:rRNA from 1 species